CACCGCCGCGGGAAUACGAGGGGGGCAAGCGUUGUUCGGAAUUAUUGGGCGUAAAGGGUGCGUAGGCGGCUUGACAAGUCUUGUGUGAAAUCUAUGGGCUCAACCCAUAGUCUGCACGGGAAACUGUCGGGCUUGAGAAUGGGAGAGGUGAGUGGAAUUUCCGGUGUAGCGGUGAAAUGCGUAGAUAUCGGAAAGAACACCUGUGGCGAAAGCGGCUCACUGGACCAUUUCUGACGCUGAUGCACGAAAGCUAGGGGAGCAAACAGGAUUAGAUACCCGCGUAGUCCCUGUCUCUUAUACA
rnacentral:rRNA from 1 species